rnacentral:rRNA from 1 species
UGGGGAAUAUUGGACAAUGGGCGCAAGCCUGAUCCAGCAAUGCCGCGUGUGUGAAGAAGGCCUUCGGGUUGUAAAGCACUUUUAUCAGGAACGAAAUACCACGGGUUAAUAACCUAUGGGGCUGACGGUACCUGAGGAAUAAGCACCGGCUAACUUCGUGCCAGCAGCCGCGGUAAUACGAAGGGUGCAAGCGUUAAUCGGAAUUACUGGGCGUAAAGGGUGCGUAGGCGGUUGUUUAAGUCUGUCGUGAAAUCCCCGGGCUCAACCUGGGAAUGGCGAUGGAUACUGGGCAGCUAGAGUGUGUCAGAGGAUGGUGGAAUUCCCGGUGUAGCGGUGAAAUGCGUAGAGAUCGGGAGGAACAUCAGUGGCGAAGGCGGCCAUCUGGGACAACACUGACGCUGAAGCACGAAAGCGUGGGGAGCAAACA